GAGAGUGCCAAUGUUGAGGCUGCUCGACUUCUUCAAGAAGCUGCAAGGAUUUUGAAGAGAGAGUCAGAAAGCACAGCCACUGCUGGCUCAGGAUCACAGACUGGUACUGGGAUGUGUUCACCCAGUUCUUUUAGCAGUUUGUUUAACAACAUGCAAACCUCACUAGCUGAAGUACAACAGGGAACCCCUACAGUCGAUUCAGGCAGGAUUCCCUGCACUGUAGCUAGAAAUGACCACAUUCAAAGAAAUCUUGUGCAGCUGUUUCAGCCAUGUGAUCGGGCAAGGGGGCAAAAGAUGUUCCAGAACAUUUGAUUCCUCCCUUUCCAACUCUCAACAUAUUUCUUCACUGGCACGCUCUUACCGUCUCUUUUUGAGCAAUAUCUAUUGCAUUAAACCUGCUGGACUAUGGCCCUCGACGAUCAGGACUGGAGAUCACUGGGUUAAGGUGUAAAUGCACAUGUAACACAUACUAUAAAAAUGAAGCAUGUUAAAAAUAAAUGUGUGUUUGUUUGUUGUAGUGUCAAGAGGUGGUCAUGCAGAAGUGCAAGAGGUGUGAAAAAGAUAUCCCUAUGCAAUGCCUUUCAGAACACAUUGAAAACUGUGGAAGGUCAUCUGUUUUUCUGGUGUAUUUGUAAUUUAAAUUGCUCAUUUCUUUUUACAACAUAGUGGUUGACUUGUAUCUGUGGUAAAUAUGUUUUGACAUUCAACGCAUGUAUGUCUUUGUUAACUGUUUUCAGACAGCCUGAUGACACUGAUUUGGAAGAUGAUGUCGUUAUGGAGAUAUCUGAAGAGACUCAACUAUCUAUGUCAUGACAUGACAACACAUCCCAUGUUCAAAAUUAUUACAGCAAGCACCAUGCUUCUUGUAGUGGACUGUACAGAGACUAUGUGGACCUUGUCAGUGCGCCUCACCCCUCCUCUCACCCCUCGCCCCUCCUCUCACCCCUCGCCUAACCCCUCCUCUCACCCCUCCUCUCACGCCUCGCCUCACCCCGGGUCAGUGUGGCACAGCCUGUCUGCUCUUCUGAACAAACACUUCAGCCCUGCCGACGCAGUGAGAGUCUGGAGCAGCAACACAAGGAUUACGAGCGGAGGCUGCGCUUGUUGAGCCUGGAUGAUAUGGAGCGGCUGGCGACCCGCAUGCUUCACCCCGAGGCUGGGGAGUGCAUGGAGCUGUCCUUCCUGGACUGAGGAAUACUGCUGCUGCCCUCUCCACCUCUCCCCUCUCCCCCCUCUUCUCCUCCCCCUCUCCCCUCUCUCCUCUCCUCUUUACUCUCUCCUCCCCCUCUCCUCUCCUCUCCUUACUUUGUUUAAAAGAAUAGAAGCACACCCAGUGAGCAAGGCAUUGAGCAGCCCCACAUCCCGCUUCACUAUUAGCAGCACCUAGUGCAGUGUGAAAAGAUGAAUUAACCCGGUCUAGUGCUAGAUUGUACAUGUACACAAACAACUGUACCUACAAAAUGCCCAUCUGUUACACUAGUUUUGUGGUUGUUUUAGACCACACACCAAAAAAAUACAAGCAGAUGCGUUACCAAAAUAAACAGUGCUGUAUAAACUACAGAAACUUGAUGCUGAAUGGUUUUAUAGUCUGUUACGUCAGAAUUGUGUUUAAUGCAUAAGCAGUUGCUUUGCAGACUCAACAAAGACUGCAGUCCUCGUUUAACCACUGUGCAAUCAGCCCUUAGUCGCUGUGAUGUUGUUGUUCAUGGAAUUUGAGCGUGCGUACCGGCAAUGGGUAGUAAUUGGAAAAGUGUAAUACAAAAGAAUUAAAAACGGGCUCGUCCGGGAUUUGAACCGGGGAACCUCUCGCACCCGAAACUAUGCUACCCAGCUGCUGGUCCAGGCCCUGGUACUCUCCCGCCUAGACUACUGCAACUCCCUCCUGGCUGGCCUCCCUGCGUCCGCCACCCGUCCGCUCCAGCUCAUCCAGAACUCUGCUGCCCGCCUGGUGUUCUCUCUGCCUCGCUUCGCCCACGCUACUCCACUACUCCGCUCGCUCCACUGGCUCCCGAUCACCGCUCGCAUCCAGCUCAAGACUCUUGUACUCGCCUACAGAUGCCUUGACCAGACUGCACCCAGCUACCUCCAGACCCUCAUCUCUCCCUACACCCCCACUCGACCUCUCUGCUCCGCCUGCACUAGAAGACUGGCUCUACCUCCGCUACGCUCCCCUGCCUCCAGAGCCCGCUCCUUCUCCACCCUUGCUCCGCAGUGGUGGAAUGACCUUCCUACAGAUGUCAGGACUCCCCAGUCCCUGACCACAUUCCGGCGCCUCCUUAAGACUCACCUCUUCAAAGAGCACCUGUAGAACUCCUCUGUUUGUAUCCUGGGACACUAUCACCCUUCAUUCAAAUGUGCUUUAUUUUGUUCUUAUCUGCCCCCUAUUUUACUGCAUUUAGUCCUGUACUUCAGAAUACUGUAAUCUGCCAAGUGUUUAACCUGUAGUACUUUGUAUUUAAUCACAUCCUGAUGUAACUAUCACUAUUUAAUCAUAUCCUGAUGUAACUAUCACUAUUAUCUGCUGUAUUAUUGAAUUGUGGCUUGUCACACUUGAACAAAAAUGAUUGUAUUUCUUGCUCUUAUUUUAUUACUUGUAUUGUAACACUUGAAUGUAUUUUGUAUUUGCUUGCGAUUGUAAGUCGCCCUGGAUAAGGGCGUCUGCUAAGAAAUAAAUAAUAAUAGACCAACGAGCCAGUGUCUGCCACUGUUUUGGUCCCCCGAGUUUCCAAAGAAGUGCAGACCUAGCUGUUCUGUUAGAUGGGAGACGUUUUUCUAUUGGGUGUACCUGUCGAGAGCACUGUAAUUUUGCCGUGUCUCCGAGCUGUGUGCUGUUGCCUGUUUGGGCCGUCUGACUUCUUUAACUGGCGGCUAGCAUUUCUAUGGGCAUCGAGAAGCGGUCGCUAUAAAUGAGGAAAGUAGUUUAGGUGGGAUUUCGUUUUGAUAUGUUAGGAAUGGAUCAGUUAGUCAGCAUGUACUUCAAAAAAUAAAUAGAAAAAAAGGAGGCUGGGUUUCGUUGUUUUGCAAAGGAUGCACUGCAACGUCCGCUCACAGGAGCAGUCCCACUACUGGUGCGACACGGGGGUUUUGACCUGCUCCGUUCCCGACCUGGGCCGGUUCACCCCUCCUUAGACGACCUGGCAUUCACGAGCUCCCCCAGAUAUGCCAUGUCGAUGCCGUGCUAAGUGCGGACUCCCGAUCGGCACAGCCAGUUGCAGCACAGAGCUCCCGUGCUCAAGCGAUCCGCCAGCCUCGACCCGCCCCUGUAGCUGGGAUUACAGACACACGCCACGGCGCCCGGCGUGAGCGAGAGCGGCUAGAAGGCAAUUCAAACCCCCUUGUCUGAAAUGAGAGCGAGAGUACUCGUGCAGUUCACUGACGUGGCAGCUUUUAAUGCCGAUUGCAUUAAAAGCAUUGCCGGGUCCUGC